rnacentral:rRNA from 1 species
UGUACCUUGUUGCUUCGGCGCGCCCGCCUCACGGCCGCCGGGGGGCAUCCGCCCCCGGGCCCGCGCCCGCCGAAGACACCAUUGAACUCUUGUCUGAAGAUUGCAGUCUGAGUAGAUUAGCUAAAUCAGUUAAAACUUUCAACAACGGAUCUCUUGGUUCCGGCAUCGAUGAAGAACGCAGCGAAAUGCGAUAAGUAAUGUGAAUUGCAGAAUUCAGUGAAUCAUCGAGUCUUUGAACGCACAUUGCGCCCCCUGGUAUUCCGGGGGGCAUGCCUGUCCGAGCGUCAUUGCUGCCCUCAAGCACGGCUUGUGUGUUGGGCUUCGCCCCCCGUUCAUCGGGGGGCGGGCCCGAAAGGCAGCGGCGGCACCGCGUCCGGUCCUCGAGCGUAUGGGGCUUUGUCACCCGCUCUGUAGGCCCGGCCGGCGCCCGCCGGCGACACCCAAAUCAAUCUAUCCAGGUUGACCUCGGAUCAGGUAGGGAUACCCGCUGAACUUAAGCA